GCUGAGGGUGGUGAGGACAGGCCUAGUGUGAGCCGGACUGGGGCACCUGGUGCUGAGGGUGGUGAAGACAGGCCUAGUGUGAGCCGGACUGGGGCACCUGGUGCUGAGGGUGAUUAGGACAGGCCUGGUGUGAGCCGGACUGGGGCACCUGGUGCCACCCACAGCCAGCCUUUGACCUUCAGGGACUGGUUGGGGCUCUGGUUGCCUGGGGAGGGGUCUCCAGGGCUUCCUGCCCUUUGAGCCUGGGCCAGCAUCCCAGCACUUGGCAGGCAGGAGGGGGUUCUUGGGGCUUGGGCCAGCCUGUCCCUUCCUGCCUCCUGUGUCCCUCUGUCCUUGCUCAUCACUUCUGUGCUGGGGACCCUUCUCUCUUCUCUGCUGUCCCUCAAGGCUGUGUCUGGAAGUCUCGGAGGGCCCGGUUGGUGGGCCAGUGAUCUUUGUGCUUGCUGAGCUGGAGGACAGGCGCAGGCAUGCUGUUUGCCCAUCCCACACUCUGAUGGGCCUGCUAGCCAUGCCUCCCUGCUCACACAGCUGCGUUCUUCCCUCUGCAAAAAGCUUAGAGAUGGAUUUUGACAGGAGGGACGUAAACAUAAUCCUGGUUGGCAUCAGCUUGGGUCUGCAGUGGCUGUGACUGCCCAAGGGCCUCUUGGUCCCCAGGCCCACCUGGCUAGGGUGCCAGUGGGGUCUGCUCCUGGCUUCUCCCAGUGGGCCAGGCAAAGCCCAUGCAAGAGUGUGUGGAAGUGAGCUGGAGCCCUCUUCAGGGCUUGUGUGGCCCGAGAGAGGCCUGUGUUCUCUGGGAGGGCACAGACUCCAUCAAGAUGGAGAACGGGCAGAGCACAGCCGCCAAGCUGGGGCUGCCUCCCCUGACGCCCGAGCAGCAGGAGGCCCUUCAGAAGGCCAAGAAGUACGCCAUGGAGCAGAGCAUCAAGAGUGUGCUGGUGAAGCAGACCAUCGCGCACCAGCAGCAGCAGCUCACCAACCUGCAGAUGGCAGCAGUGACAAUGGGCUUUGGAGAUCCUCUCUCACCUUUGCAAUCGAUGGCGGCUCAGCGGCAGCGGGCGCUGGCCAUCAUGUGCCGCGUCUACGUGGGCUCUAUCUACUAUGAGCUGGGGGAGGACACCAUCCGCCAGGCCUUUGCCCCCUUUGGCCCCAUCAAGAGCAUCGACAUGUCCUGGGACUCCGUCACCAUGAAGCACAAGGGCUUUGCCUUCGUGGAGUAUGAGGUCCCCGAAGCUGCACAGCUGGCCUUGGAGCAGAUGAACUCGGUGAUGCUGGGGGGCAGGAACAUCAAGGUGGGCAGACCCAGCAACAUAGGGCAGGCCCAGCCCAUCAUAGACCAGUUGGCUGAGGAGGCACGGGCCUUCAACCGCAUCUACGUGGCCUCUGUGCACCAGGACCUCUCAGACGAUGACAUCAAGAGCGUGUUUGAGGCCUUUGGCAAGAUCAAGUCCUGCACACUGGCCCGGGACCCCACAACUGGCAAGCACAAGGGCUACGGCUUCAUUGAGUACGAGAAGGCCCAGUCGUCCCAAGAUGCUGUGUCUUCCAUGAACCUCUUUGACCUGGGUGGCCAGUACUUGCGGGUGGGCAAGGCUGUCACACCGCCCAUGCCCCUACUCACACCAGCCACGCCUGGAGGCCUCCCACCUGCCGCUGCUGUGGCAGCUGCUGCAGCCACUGCCAAGAUCACAGCUCAGGAAGCAGUGGCCGGAGCAGCGGUGCUGGGUACCCUGGGCACACCUGGACUGGUGUCCCCAGCACUGACCCUGGCCCAGCCCCUGGGCACUUUGCCCCAGGCUGUCAUGGCUGCCCAGGCACCUGGAGUCAUCACAGGUGUGACCCCAGCCCGUCCUCCUAUCCCGGUCACCAUCCCCUCGGUGGGAGUGGUGAACCCCAUCCUGGCCAGCCCUCCAACGCUGGGUCUCCUGGAGCCCAAG
rnacentral:misc_RNA from 1 species